AGUGGACGCUGGCGGUAGGCCUAACACAUGCAAGUCGAACGGCAGCACAGGAGAGCUUGCUCUCUGGGUGGCGAGUGGCGGACGGGUGAGGAAUACAUCGGUAUCUACUUUGGCGUGGGGGAUAACGUAGGGAAACUUACGCUAAUACCGCAUACGACCUUCGGGCGAAAGUGGGGGACCGCAAGGCCUCACGCGAUUAGAUGAGCCGAUGUCGGUUUAGCUAGUUGGCGGGGUAAAAGCCCACCAAGGCGACGAUCCGUAGCUGGUCGGAGAGGAUGAUCAGCCACACUGGAACUGAGACACGGUCCAGACUCCUACGGGAGGCAGCAGUGGGGAAUAUUGGACAAUGGGCGCAAGCCUGAUCCAGCCAUUCCGCGUGGGUGAAGAAGGCCUUCGGGUUGUAAAGCCAUUUUGUUGGGAAAGAAAUCUUGCCGGUUAAUACCUGGCGAGGAUGACGGUACCCAAAGAAUAAGCACCGGCUAACUUCGUGCCAGCCGCCGCCGUAAAAC
rnacentral:rRNA from 1 species